rnacentral:rRNA from 1 species
CUCCUACGGGAGGCAGCAGUGGGGAAUUUUGGACAAUGGGCGAAAGCGUGAUCCAGCCAUGCCGCGUGCAAGAAGAAGGCCUUCGGGUUGUAAACCGCUUUUGUACGGAAAGAAAAGGUUCUUUUUAAUACAGAGGGGACAUGACGGUACCGUAAGAAUAAGCACCGGCUAAAUACGUCCCAGCAGCCGCGGUAAUAUGUAGGGUGCGAGCGUUUAUCGGAAUUACUGGGCGUAAAGCGUGCGCAGGCGGUUAUGUAAGACAGAUGUGAAAUCCCCGGGCUCAACCUGGGAACUGCAUUUGUGACUGCAUGGCUAGAGUGCGGCAGAGGGGGAUGGAAUUCCGCGUGUCGCAGUAAAACGCGUAGAUAUGCGGAGGAACACCGAGGGAGAGGGCAAUCCCCUGGGCCUGUCCUCACGCUCAUGCAGGAAAGCCAGGGAGCAAAC